AUCAUCAGUUUAAAGACUGACUAUCCUCUGAUGUCGCAUUGUAAACUGAUGAACUGCUGAAACUGUUUCACCUCUUCCGCUAAUUAGUUCAUUUUACGAUCCCAUCGUUUGUUUUCCUCUCAGACACUGAAAGUUUUACUGAUCCAGUCACGGAUGAAAUCAAAAUCACUUCGAUACAGAAACUCUACAGAGACGCUGGAGGUCAGUCAGAGAAACUCAGUCUAUAUAAUGAUGUCUGAACUAAAUGCUGCUUUUGUAUUAAUUAACGACCAGGAUCAUUUCUAUCUGAUCAUUAUUAACAACAAUUUUAGAUGUUUUACAGACAGCAAACAAACACCAACAUACUGUUUGUCAAAGCAGCCACAGAAACUCAGCAACACUGAAGUCUGCAUAAAAACUGAAAGGAGAUGAAGAGGAAGUAAGACAGCGGCUGGACGUGGGCGAGACAUGUGACCCAUGACCAGUUUAUCAUAGUUUAGUGAGGAGGCAGCCACUUCAUACAGGAGAUAUAAAGAUGUGCAUUCAACCUGCGUUGCACCUGCAGUCUGCCUGUUAACACAGACUCCAGCCAUAUUAAGUUUCAGGAUGAAAGAAGAGACUCUCCAUCAAUCUACUGUUUUAUACUGAUGCAGUCGUCAUGGCAACAGAAACACAAAGAGGUGUCCAUGACAACAGCUGGACUGUUUGAUCAGCUGCACAGAAUCACCGAGUGUGUGUAGUGAUGGGAAUUACGGCUCUUUGAAGGGAGAUGCGACACCACAGAAUCCCACAGACACAAAGUUUCUGCAUCGUGUGUUUUUUACAGCAGUGGUUCGAGACACCCGACCCCACCAUUUAAUGAUAAAUCCUGCUGCACCUCUGGACCGACCACCAGGCCCCCACUGUGGGAACCACUGGUUUACAGGAUGAACAGUCUUUUCCAGAAAACAUCAGUUUCUCUUUCAUGGUGCACCAACGUGGAAAUAGUCUCCCGGUCCUGCUCACCAGCGCCGGAACAUCUAACUGUACGGUGCAGACCACUCUACCUACCAGGGGAGCUCCUCUGCUACUGUUAACUGCUGACUAUACACAGCCGCAAGCUAAUGCCAUCGCGGCACAGUUGUGGUGGUGGACUUUAACCAUUGUAACUUGAAAACUGUGCUGCCAAAAUACUACCAACAUGUCAAAUGUCCAACCAGAGGCGACAAAACACUUGCUCACUGUUACUCCACGAUCAAAGGAGCUUACAGACGUAUCCUACAACCUCACUUUGGGAAAUCCGAUCACCUAUCAGUACUUUCGCUUCCCGCCUACAAGCAUAAAGUUAAGUGUACGCAGCGCGCUGUGAGGACAGGGCAGUGUUGGACUGCAGAACACACAUCCAGACUCCAGAGAUGUUUUGAAUCAACAGACUGGGCAAUCUUUAAGGAUUCCACCUCGAGUUUGGAUGAAUACACUGAAUCUGUCAGUGGCUAUAUUAUAAUCUGUGUGGAUAAUCCGAUCCCAGCACGGGCCGCUGUCUUUAUGCCCGCUUCGAAGCCCACAGCCCGGACCUACAGGCGACAGCAGCGCAGCGCCCACCCACUGCAGUCGAUCCACAGGCGCAGAGGUUCACGAGUAAAACCUUUAAAAGGGUGAAGGCUGGCAAAGCUGAUGUUGCAUGUCUCCAGUUCAGACGCCUCCGAGUUUCAGAUCUCACCAGAUAAGCAGCGAUGAAGGCUCCGAUGAGGAAGCCCACGUACACGUCGAUGGGAUGGCUGCGAUGCUGAGUGAUCUGAGUCAGACCCGUCAAC